AACGUUUGAGUGUCCGUCUUAUAUGAAAUUUUUUUAUAAUUAAUAUUUUCAUUGUUAUUAGAUGAUAAAAUAUGAUUAAUACUUUAUGCGUGACUUAUUUUUUUAAUUUUUUUAUAAUUUUUUUAAAUAAGACAGACGGUGAAACGUU
rnacentral:pre_miRNA from 1 species